rnacentral:rRNA from 1 species
CAAUAGCGUAUAUUAAAGUUGUUGCGGUUAAAAAGCUCGUAGUUGGAUCUCGGCAGGCAGGGGGUGGUUCGCUCUUAGCGCUACUGCCCCAUUUGCCUGUGUGAUUGGCGGAGGUUUCGGGGUGCUCUUCGUUGAGUGACCCGGGGCGCCGUCAGGUUUACUUUGAAAAAAUUAGAGUGCUCAAAGCAGGCUUUUCACGCUUGAAUAUUCGUGCAUGGAAUAAUGGAAUAGGAACUCGUUUCUAUUUUGUUGGUUUUCGGAAAUCGAGUUAAUGAUUAAUAGGGACAAUUGGGGGCAUUAGUAUUCAGACGACAGAGGUGAAAUUCCUGGACCGUCUGAAGACUAACUACUGCGAAAGCAUUUGCCAAGAGUGUUUUCAUUAA